rnacentral:sRNA from 1 species
GCUGGGCAUGGUGGUGCACUCCUGUAAUCCCAGCCACUUGGGAGGCUGAGGCAGGAGGAUUGCAAGUUCAAAGCCAGCAUCGGCAAAAGCGAGGCGCUAAGCAACUCGUGAGACCCUGUCUUUA